AUUGAACGCUGGCGGCAGGCCUAACACAUGCAAGUCGAGCGAGCGGCGGACGGGUGAGUAAUGUAUGGGGACUGCCCGAUAGAGGGGGAUAACUACUGGAAACGGUGGCUAAUACCGCAUACUAUGGGAUAACACAUAGGGGAUUAGUUAGUAGGUGGGGUAAAGGCUCACCUGGGAGACGAGCUCUAGCUGGUCUGAGAGGAUGAUCAGCCACACUGUGACUGAGCCAAGGCCCAGAAUCCUACGGAGGCAGCAGUGGGGAAGAGUGCACAAUGGGCGCAAGCCUGAGGCCGCCAUGCCGCGUGUAUGAAGAAGGCCUUAGGGUUGUAAAGUACUUUCAGCGGGGAGGCGUUACCCGCGGAAGAAGCACCGGCUAACUCCGUGCCAGCAGCCGCGGUAAUUC
rnacentral:rRNA from 1 species